rnacentral:rRNA from 1 species
AUGUGCUGUAAGAUUGAUGCGGAAAAGAGGUUGAAGGAACUUCUCCGCGAAGAAGAGCUGAAGUGGGCGCUCAGAGCAAAGGUUCGCAAAGUAAUCCAAGGGGAUGCGAACACUCAAUUCUUUCAUCUGAUUGCGAAUGGCAAACACAGAAAGAAAAAAAUAUUUCAGCUCGAGCAAGAUGAAGGCACAAUUGUUGGUCACGAUAAUCUUAAGCUAUACAUCACCGAAUACUACAAGCAGUUAUUUGGACCGCCGGAGGAUAGCGUUGUGUCCCUCGAUGAGUCCAGGACUGAGGAUGUGCCUCAAUUAACUGCUGCUGAUAAUGACAUGCUAGUUGUGCCGUUUACGGAAAAGGAGGUUUUCGAUGCCAUCUCUCAGAUGGAGAACAAUAAGGCUCCCGGGCCGGAUGGGUUCCCGGCGGAGUUUUACAAAAGAUGUUGGCAUAUCAUCAAAGGGGAUCUGCUACCCAUGUUCCACGACCUUUUUGCUGGACGGCUUCAACUUUUUCAUUUGAACUUUGGAACGAUAACGUUGCUUCCAAAGAAGACCGACGCUCUCAGGAUUGAGCAGUUCCGUCCUAUCUGCCUCUUGAAUGUCAGUUUCAAAAUUUUUACCAAGGUUGGGACUAAUAGGCUCACACAGAUUGCGCAUUCUGUGGUGCAGCAAUCCCAAACAGCUUUCAUGCCAGACAGAAACAUCCUUGAAGGGGUGGUGGUGUUGCAUGAAACGCUCCAGGAAAUUCACUCUAAGAAACUUGAUGGAGUCAUCUUUAAAGUAGAUUUUGAGAAAGCGUAUGACAAAGUUAAAUGGCCUUUUCUGCAACAAGCUUUGCGUAUGAAAGGUUUCCACGAGGGCUGGAGGAGCCAGAUUGAAACUUUUACGCAAAAGGGUAGUGUUGGCAUAAAAGUGAAUGACGAUGUCGGUCAUUACUUCCAGACACAUAAGGGCCUGCGGCAGGGAGAUCCGAUGUCCCCUAUUCUAUUCAACAUAGUAGCCGAUAUGUUGGCGGUGUUGUUAGGGAGAGCCAAGGAAGUUGGCCAAAUAGGGGGCUUGGUGCCACACUUAGUGGAUGGGGGUAUAUCCAUCCUGCAAUACGCUGAUGACACUAUCAUCUUCAUGGAGCAUGACUUGGUAAAAGCUAGAAAUCUGAAGCUGCUGCUUUGUUUGUUUGAGCAGCUAAGUGGGCUCAAAAUUAACUUCCACAAAAGUGAGUUGUUCUGCUUUGGGAGAGCCAAAGAGGAACAAGAGGAUUACAAGCAGUUGUUCGGAUGUGGUUUGGGUGAGCUGCCUUUUACCUACUUAGGAAUUCCUAUUCAUCACCGCAAGCUCACGAAUAAUGAAUGGAAGUGUAUUGAGGAUCGUUUCGAGAAGAAGCUAAGUUGUUGGAAGGGCAAGCUCAUGUCGUAUGGAGGCCGUUUAAUUCUUAUUAAUUCGGUGCUCACGAGCAUGCCCAUGUUCCUUUUGUCCUUCUUUGAAGUCCCAGUUGGAGUUAGGAAACGACUGGACUUCUAUCGAUCGAGGUUCUUUUGGCAGGGGGAUGAGCCUAAGAGAAAAUAUCGGUUAGCGAAGUGGGAUAUCAUUUGUAGACCGAAAGACCAAGGGGGUAUGGGGAUUAAGAAUCUCGAAGUCAAGAACCGGUGCCUUCUUAGUAAGUGGUUGUGGAAGUUAUCCUCAGGAACUGACGCCAUGUGGGCUCAAAUCCUGCGUAACAAGUAUCUCCAAACCAAAACUUUGGCUCAGGUGUCGGUUAGACCAACUGAUUCACCCUUUUGGAAAGGGCUUAUGAAAGUGAAGCUUUCAUUUUUUCAGAGGUCAAAGCAUUUAGUUGGUAAUGGUGCAAGCACGAGAUUCUGGGAGGAUACUUGGCUUGGAGAGGCUCCCCUAGCAAUCCAGUAUCCGUCUCUGUAUCGUAUAGUUCGAAGGCGCGAUGCUUUGGUUGCAUCGGUCUUCGCCUCGAUACCCCUGGAUAUCCAGUUUAGAAGAUCGUUAGUGGGCAAUCGUUGGGAAGAGUGGCUGCAUCUAGUUAGGAGACUGAUGCAGGUACAACUAUCUCAACAACCUGAUAAAUUACGCUGGAAUCUCACUAGGUCGGGGGGAUUCACGGUUAAAUCAAUGUAUGUUGAUGUUAUUAAUUCCAGCUCGAUUCCUACUUCAAAGCAUGUGUGGGACGUCAGAGUUCCUUUAAAGAUCAAGGUGUUUAUGUGGUUUCUACAUAAACAGGUGAUCUUAACAAAGGAUAAUCUUAUUAAGCGUAAUUGGACAGGACCUACUAGGUGUAGUUUCUGUGAUCAGGGUGAAACCAUUAAACAUCUUUUCUUUGACUGCCCACUAGCUAGAAUUCUUUGGACGACUAUUCAAGUCGCUUUCAAUAUUACCCCACCCAGGUCGGUUAACAUGUUGUUUGGGACAUGGCUAACUAGGGUAGAGCCCGGGUUAGCAAAACAUAUUCGCUUGGGGGUUUGCGCUUUUUUGUGGGCGCUUUGGAAUUGCAGAAAUGACUUCGUCUUUAACAGAUCAACAAAUAUCCAUGUUUUGCAGGUUAUCUUCCGAGCAACGGCUCUUAUCCGUUCCUGGUCGCUACUCACUCCGACGGAGGCCAGGGAGCUUUUGGUUACUGCUGCUAUCCGAUGGGAGAUGGUAGCUCGGGAUAUAUUCAGCCGGUUUGGAUGGCGGUCGUGUAACAGGAUAGGCAAUUAG